CUCGCGCUCCCCGCGCCCGGGCUUCCCACCACUUAAACGUGGACGUACUUGCUUUGGAAGCGAGAAAGUAAGUGCUUCCAUGUUUCGGUGAUGGUAAGUCUCCCUCCCGCGAGCGCCGCGG
rnacentral:precursor_RNA from 13 species